rnacentral:rRNA from 1 species
AAGCGGAGGAAAAGAAACCAACAGGGAUUGCCUCAGUAACGGCGAGUGAAGCGGCAACAGCUCAAAUUUGAAAUCUGGCCCCCGGGCCCGAGUUGUAAUUUGCAGAGGAUGCUUCGGGGCGGGCCCCGUCCCGAGUCCCUUGGAACAGGGCGCCGCAGAGGGUGAGGGCCCCGUACACGGCCGGACGCCCGCCCCGUGCGAAGCUCCUUCGACGAGUCGAGCUGUUUGGGAAUGCAGCUCCAAACGGGAGGUAUAUUCCUCCCAAGGCUAAAUACCGGCCGGAGACCGAUAGCGCACAAGUAGAGUGAUCGAAAGGUGAAAAGCACUUUGGAAAGAGAGUUAAAAAGUACGUGAAAUUGUUGAAAGGGAAGCGUUUGCGGCCAGACCUGGUGGCGGUUGCUCAGCCGGUCCCUCGGGGCCGGCGCACUCUUCCGCCACCUGGCCAGCAUCGGUCCGGGCGGCCGGACAAAGGCCGGGGGAACGUGGCCCCCGCGCGGGGUGUUAUAGCCCCCGGCACAAUACGGCCAGCCCGGACCGAGGACAGCGU